CCCUUAGAUGUUCUGGGCUGCACGCGCGCUACACUGACGCACGCAACAGGUGCCUGCUCCGAGAGGACUGGGUAAUCAUUUGAGUGUGCGUCGUGAUGGGGAUAGAAUAUUGUAAUUAUUACUCUUCAACGAGGAAUUCCUAGUAAGCGCCAGUCAGCGGCUUGCGCUGAUUACGUCCCUGCCCUUUGUACACACCGCCCGUCGCUCCUACCGAUGGGUGAUCCGGUGAAUGAUUCGGACUUCAGCGGCUCCCCUGGGGUGCGCCGGAGAAAGUUUUGUGAACCUUAUCACUUGGAGGAAGGAGAAGUCGUAACA
rnacentral:rRNA from 1 species